CGGGAACUCAUAGGAGACUGCCGGGGUCAACUCGGAGGAAGGUGGGGAUGAGGUCAAGUCAUCAUGCCCCUUAUGUCCAGGGCUUCACGCAUGCUACAAUGGCUGGUACAAAGGGCUGCAAUAUCGCAAGAUGGAGCGAAUCCCAAAAAGCCAGUCUCAGUUCGGAUUGGGGUCUGCAACUCGACCCCAUGAAGUCGGAGUCGCUAGUAAUCGCAGAUCAGCAACGCUGCGGUGAAUACGUUCCCGGGCCUUGUACACACCGCCCGUCAAGUCAUGAAAGUCGGUAACACCCGAAGCCAGUGGCUCAACCAUUUAUGGAGGGAGCUGUCUAAGGUGGGAUCGGUAAUUAGGACUAAGUCGUAACAAGGUAGCCGUACCGGAAGGUGC
rnacentral:rRNA from 1 species